GAUGAGCGCUGGCGGCGUGCCUAAUACAUGCAAGUCGAGCGAACAGACGAGGAGCUUGCUCCUCUGACGUUAGCGGCGGACGGGUGAGUAACACGUGGAUAACCUACCUAUAAGACUGGGAUAACUUCGGGAAACCGGAGCUAAUACCGGAUAACAUGUUGAACCGCAUGGUUCAACAGUGAAGGACGGUCUUGCUGUCACUUAUAGAUGGAUCCGCGCCGCAUUAGCUAGUUGGUAAGGUAACGGCUUACCAAGGCAACGAUGCGUAGCCGACCUGAGAGGGUGAUCGGCCACACUGGAACUGAGACACGGUCCAGACUCCUACGGGAGGCAGCAGUAGGGAAUCUUCCGCAAUGGGCGAAAUCCUGACGGAGCAACGCCGCGUGAGUGAAGAAGGUCUUCGGAUCGUAAAACUCUGUUAUUAGGGAAGAACAAAUGUGUAAGUAACUAUGCACGUCUUGACGGUACCUAAUCAGAAAGCCACGGCUAACUACGUG
rnacentral:rRNA from 1 species